GGAUAGAAGCAGCCAUUUACUGCCUUUGGAACAUCAUGGGGAGUUGAAGGAAUGGAUGUACAGCAGCAACAGCAGUGAGGAAGAGAGGCACAGGACAGCUUCCUCAGCAGAAAGAUUCCAAUAAAAAUCAAAGACCAAGGCUCUGGGACCCCAUCAAGGUCUGGAUGUGGCUGCCUGCCUGUGGAGAAGAUAAUCUGUCAGAAGAUUCGUGGUGUUGA